GGGAUGCAGGAGUUCUGUGCUGACUCAGGGAGGGGUAAAUCUGUUUAACAAAAGUUAAAUUGGAGCAGUCACACAAACCAGGAAUUUUUCUCAGGAUACAGAGAACAAAAAUGGGCACCACUGCAGUUCCAGUGUAAAUGGCAGAGAAAGAGCAGGGAAGAGCAUCAUGUCAGUUCUGAAGUUUGAACCAAUGUGACUGAAACUGAAGCCGUGGUGAUGCUUCUUUAAUUAAAGCAUUUCUCACAAGGGCUUUGAGAUGCAGGAGAAAAAUAAUAAGGCAAGCCAACAUCAGGACAAGCAGCUAAGGAUCAUGCUCUGCUGGUUCUCAGAAUAGCAAAGAAAAUGCAGGAAAGCUUUGAAGGGGCUUUGAACAUCAGAAAAAUCUUUGGCAAUACCUGAAGCCCACAGAAUUUCUGAGUUAUGUGAACCUAAAGCAGAAGAGAAGAGGAGACAAAGUGAACUGAAGAGCUGAAGGAUUAAAAAUAGCCUCAGAGAUUAGAGCUGCUCAGAGGUUACAGGCCCAUGAAACAUCCCACAGGAGGGUUUGUGGGGAACAGGAGCAUGUUUCUGAUUUACAGGCAGCAGCACAAGCAGAACAUCCUUGUGCCACCCUGAUGAGACACCCCAAGGAACACCCAACACAUUUCCCUCAGGGGCAAGGGAAGAGCACUGAUAACCCAGCAAACUGUCUUUAAAUCCCUGUAAUCCCUGUGUUUUCCACUGCCUGC